AUAUCCAGCGCAUAAUGCUUCACAAAGGUAUCCGCCGAGGCCCACGUCGCCGCCCUGCAGAUGUCCUGGAGUGGAACACCUCUGAAGAGAGCCGCUGACGACGCCUGGGACCUGGUGGAGUGGGCAUGCACUUGCAAAGGACAAGGAACGGCCUUCGGUCUCACAGCAGGAUCCGAAGUCAUCGGAACCGUAGAGGUGGUCUGAGUUGGCGGAGUCGACCUCGGAACCGACGGAGUCGAACCUCUAUGGGCGCCACGAGCAGGCGAAGCCGAGACAGCCGACGAGAUCGAGGGAGGUCGACUUGCUAGAUGUCUCGGAACCGAAGCGGUCGGUUCCGACAAACUCCGACCCGAAGGGAUCCUCUCGGACCUCGACUCCGAGCGACUCGGAGACGGCUGAGAACGAGGAGUCUUGGAACCCGAAGGUACAGGAGGACGAGAGGACGCAGACGGAGCAGACGAAGACUUCGGUGGAGGGUCCUCGACCGACAUCGCACGCUGCCAGAGAAAGGCAUGCAAACGAUCCGUCCGUUCCGCCCGGGCCUUGGAGGUCUCGCAACGCUUAAACAAGGCCUUCUCAGACAUCGCGAACGAAGAAAGCUGUUAAACCUCAACGAUCGGCGGCGAAAGAGAAACUGAGGGUAUGUGAGGGGCGCUCCGCCUCUUAAGGGCCGUUUCGGCGGGAAAGCGGCCGCGCAUGCGCGCUGAGAGGCGGGAGCGCCCCCUGGUGGUGUUUAGCUAUUAAAAUCUCCGGUAUCGGCAGGCCUGCGCGUGCGCAGUCCCAUGUGGGACUGCACAGGA